rnacentral:rRNA from 1 species
GACGAACGCUGGCGGCGUGCUUAACACAUGCAAGUCGAACGGUAAGGCCCUUCGGGGUACACGAGUGGCGAACGGGUGAGUAACACGUGGGUGAUCUGCCCUGCACUUCGGGAUAAGCCUGGGAAACUGGGUCUAAUACCGGAUAGGACCCUGGGAUGCAUGUCCUGGGGUGGAAAGCUUUUGCGGUGUGGGAUGGGCCCGCGGCCUAUCAGCUUGUUGGUGGGGUGAUGGCCUACCAAGGCGACGACGGGUAGCAGGCCUGGGAGGGUGACCGGCCACACUGGGACUGAGAUACGGCCCAGACUCCUACGGGAGGCAGCAGUGGGGAAUAUUGCACAAUGGGCGCAAGCCUGAUGCAGCGACGCCGCGUGAGGGAUGACGGCCUUCGGGUUGUAAACCUCUUUCAGCACCGACGAAGCGCAAGUGACGGUAGGUGCAGAAGAAGGACCGGCCAACUACGUGCCAGCAGCCGCGGUAA